GCUCCGAGUGGCAGCGGCCCUGUUCCCCACUCCCUGAGACCCUAACUUGUGAUGCGUUCUGCGCCGCCUUCCCAGGUUAGAUUCUCAGGCCCUGGGUAACAGUUUGGAGAGCGCAGCGACGGG
rnacentral:pre_miRNA from 14 species